rnacentral:rRNA from 1 species
UACGUAGGGCGCAAGCGUUAUCCGGAAUUAUUGGGCGUAAAGAGCUCGUAGGCGGUUUGUCGCGUCUGCCGUGAAAGUCCGGGGCUCAACUCCGGAUCUGCGGUGGGUACGGGCAGACUAGAGUGCGGUAGGGGAGACUGGAAUUCCUGGUGUAGCGGUGAAAUGCGCAGAUAUCAGGAGGAGCACCGAUGGCGAAGGCAGGUCUCUGGGCAUUAACUGACGCUGAGGAGCGAAAGCAUGGGGAGCGAACAGG